ACUUCAGCAGCAAAAGGCUCCCAUAUCAAGCGAGAGAAAGAGCACUCAAAGAAGAGAUGAUGGUGAGUCUCUAUUUCCAGAUUACAAAAGACACAUGUUCUGGAGACAUUUAACCCCCAACGCCUCAAGCGAUCCUUGGUUGGCAGUCUUCUCCGCAAAGCCAACCAUGAUAUAAACGCAUUACGUGGAAUAUGUUCCUUGAACCAAAUAGUAUUGUGCCAAUGUAAUGAGAUAGUUUUUUCUCGCCUCAACAUUAUAUAGGCUCAUUCGAAAAAAUAACAAAAAAAAUAAAAUUAGGUUCAAAUUGUGUAAUAGCGAGUAUAAGUUAAUAUUCAAUGGGAUUUGUCAUAGAAAUUAAAGAGAAGACACAACUGAAAUAUAUAGUCUUUUCUUAGUUCCGUAAGCUUGUCUUCUCAGGAAAAUAUAGAGUUGUUUUGUCCAUUGCUUCAAACAGUCACAAAUCUCAAAUCACAGAGUGACCUUUUGUAUUUUCGGUUGCAGUUCCCUUCUUUAAUCUAUACAUCUCCUAGCUUUUAAUCAAUUCACUAUUAAUGGUCCCGAUUCUUAACCUUCCGCGAACCCUCUUUUUAUAUACUUCAUCUUCAACGAGGAACUCUUCAACUAAAAAAAACUCAUCGACUGCUCUACUUUAUAACAUCUCCUUGAAAAUGGAUCUCUCUGCGGCUCCAGUUGCUCAAAACCGGCCUCUGUCACUCAACCUUGGACUCUCUCUGUAAAUUCCACAGUAAACAUACAAAAUUUGACAAAUGUUCAGUAUUCCUUCGGUGGCAGCAAAGACGGUUUUGGCCUGGGUAAAGGUUAUAUGAGGAAUAUAGCUGGAAGGAUUGAUGGACGCUGUUUUCAUAGUGGAAAUUUCAUCAUCAUUGUCGAAAAAUGCUUAGAGGUUGAUUGUUUGUGGUUUUUGCUUUAGUUUUUGGUUUUUGUUUUUGCAAAAACCAUUUUUCAUCCAAUCAAGUUUUAGUUUUUAGUUUUUGUUUUUGUAGAAACCAUUUGAUUUGCCAAUCAAGAUUUCUAAUAAAUAGAUUCCCUAAAAUUUAGGGAAACUAGUUUUUGAAAA